UUCCGGCCGUGAGGACAGCUGCGCCCCUCCCCCCACAUUUCCUGGGAAAAGCGUUAUUUCCCGACGUCCUUUGAAAGUAAAAACGAGCUUGUCCUACUGCACGGCUCCGUUUUCCAUGCCUUAAGGACCGGGUGCACCUGCCUUAAGGACCGGCCUCGGUGCGCUCCACCACCUUAAGAAAAUGAAGUUCACAGAAAAAUUUUAGGGCCUGGGAAAUAUGACAGUGAUUCUCAACUCUAGUCACAUUUGUUAGAGAUCUUUAAGAAAAUAGAUUCCCGGAUAGCCUUGGCUAAACCAGAAGGUUGGCUGUGCUCGUUGGAUUGCCUUGGAGUUCCUUCCCUGCUCCCUUCUUAGAAGGCCUCUCUGCAAUGUCUUCUUGAACAUAGGAUGGGUUUUAUUAAGUAUAACUAUUUCAUUCUUAAUCUUAACAUUCAAGAUUUGAAUUUACCUUUUAUUAGGAAAUGAAAGCUUUUCAGUCAUUGACUUUGCUUUAAUGUUGUGUCAUGAUUAGGUUAAAAAUCCACCGUAAAUUGUACCAAGUUUCUGUAAUGGUAUAAUAGUGUUUUACAUAUAACUGGCUGAUCCUAAUUGUAGAAUUCAUGUUCAGUUGGGUGAAUUCUGUGGAGUUGUCGCUAUUGACACCUCAGUCUGAAAGAAAGAUACAAUAUUAGAGGGGUUGGUUUCCAACGACUUUAAGGGCAGGGAAAAUAUAAGCGUGAUUUUCCAUUUUAUUCCCUAUCCCUAGAUUACUUGAAAAGGAUCAUCUAUGAUCCCAUGUUAGAGGCUGGAGUCAGUACAGAAUAUUCCAGGGUCCUGCCCGCUGUGAGAAGACGGUACCUGAUGGACAACGAGUUUCUCCGUUCCUGCGCUUGGUCACCUACACACGUUUCCAGCGCGCCCUCCGCUACCCAGCCCUGUCCUUUGGCCCGGCCGAUAAUGUUGGGGUAGACGAACUGGGGCUCCCGCGACCCAGCCAGGCCCGCCUUAAUCACUCCUGAGCCGUUGUCGAUCACCACUGGUAGCUGGUAGUAGUAGCUCAUGCCGCUGCCUCCUCCUCCUGUCGCCUGGCUGCUCUGGCUGCCCUGGCUGCGGGCUACGCUAGGGAGCGAAAGUGCGAAGCGCGGGCCCUUGGGCAGCGCCAGAAGGCCUACGGCCUGGAACGUCGCGUCACAGAAGCGCUGGCCUGACCACGGGGCCUGCGCCUGGCAGGCGUGCCCUGGAGAGCCCAGGCCCAUUGACCCUCCAAAGUGCUGCGCCCCCCCCCCCCCACCCCCCGACUGCAUCUCACAGGGGCUGGGUCACUUGCCACCCCCUGGAAUCCCGGGAUACCAAUAUCAGGAAAACCCAACUUUCUUCACUAAUGAUAUAAAUCUAACCCUUCACAAGGGGCCUUCCCCAAUACCUCGAUGAGUCAUAAAAAGUUUUCUUUUCCAAA